AUUCACCGACCGCACCAACAUUUACUUCGCGCGCCAGCAGGUCUCGGAGCGCAUCAAUGAGGCCAAGGCCAAUCUUCCGCCCGGUGUGGACAUCAAGCUCGGGCCGAUUUCGACGGGACUUGGCGAGAUCUACUGGUGGGCGGUUGAAUACGCCAAGCCGGGCGCAAUUGCGCCGGUGCGCGACGGGCAGCCCGGAUGGCAAUCCGACGGGACGUACCUGACGUCCGAAGGUGAGCGCCUGAUCGACGAUUUUCAGCGGACGGUA
rnacentral:misc_RNA from 1 species